GGGCAACAGUAGCAAAGGCAACUCGAGGGCCAAGCCCUGAAAGCGGCCCGGGGCAGAGAGUCAAAGGGGACAACCACAGAGGACUGCAAACAGGUUCUGCCUCCAUACUCCACAGCUCCAGCCAGCCCGAGUUUACUGCGUCUCAUGGUGACAUGAGGAGGCCACCUGCAGCGGCUGACUGCACCAUCUAGAAUUGUGUAAGUGCAGUCUGUGAUGUGCCAACAACAUAACCGCCUGAUGACGCAUGUCUCAGAACACGUCUCCUGGUGGAGCACCACAUGCUGUACAUAG
rnacentral:lncRNA from 1 species